GCCGAACGCUGGCGGCGUGCCUAAUACAUGCAAGUCGAACGGUCUUUUCUAUGGAAGCUUGCUUCCACUGAGAAGAUAGUGGCGAACGGGUGAGUAACACGUGGGUAACCUGCCCAUAAGCGGGGGAUAACACCCGGAAACGGGUGCUAACACCGCAUAGGUUUCUCGAUCGCAUGCUCUAGAAAGGAAAGACGGCCUUUGUUCUGCCGCUUACGGAUGGACCCGCGGCGUAUUAGGUAGUUGGUGAGGUAACGGCUCACCAAGACGAUGAUACGUAGCCGACGUGAGAGGGUGAUCGGCCACAUUGGGAAUGAGACACGGCCCAAACUCCUACGGGAGGCAGCAGUAGGGAAUCUUCCGCAAUGGACGAAAGUCUGACGGAGCAACGCCGCGUGAGUGAAGAAGGUUUUCGGAUCGUAAAACUCUGUUGUCAGAGAAGAACAAGUCGGAGAGUAACUGCUCCGGCCUUGACGGUAUCUGACCAGAAAGCCACGGCUAACUACGUGCCAGCCGCCGCCGUAACAC
rnacentral:rRNA from 1 species